AGUGAACGCUGGCGGUAGGCCUAACACAUGCAAGUCGAACGGCAGCACAUUAAGCGCUUGCUCUUACGAUUGGCGACUGACGGAUGGGUGAUACAUACAUCGGCUUCUCCUUUUUCUUGGGUGAUAACGUAGGGCAACUUCCGCUACUACCUCAUACGUCCUACUGGUUAAUGCAGGGUGUCUUCGGACUUUCCGCGUUUGAAUGAGCCGAUGUCGGAUUAGCUAGUUGGCGGGGUAAUGGCCCACCAAGGCGACGAACCGUAGCUGGUCUGAGAGGAUGAUCAGCCAGCCUGGAACUGAGACACGGUCCAGACGCCUACGGGAGGCAGCAGUGGGGAAAAUUGGACAAGGGGCGCAAGACUGAUCAAGACAUACCGCGUGGGGGAGGAAGGCCUUCGGGUUGUAAAGCCCUUUUGUUGGGAAAGAAAAGCAGUAGGGUAAGAACCCGGUGUGCUGACGGUACCCAACGAAUAAGCACCGGCUAACUUAGUG
rnacentral:rRNA from 1 species